rnacentral:lncRNA from 1 species
UUUUUUUCUAUUUUAAAUAUUUUUUAAAGAUUUUAUUUUUUAUUUAUUCAUGAGAGAGAGAGAGAGAGAGAGAGGCAGAGACGGAACAGGAGUCGGAUGUGGGACUCAAUUCCAGGACCCCAGGGUCAUGACCUGAGUCAAAGGCAGAGGCUGAGCCACCCACGCAUCCCUAUGUUAAAGAUUUUGCCUUUGAUUUAAUUUCCUGCUAUUUCACCCUGGUGGGUUCAAAUGUGGACGUCCUUUUUAAAAGAUAUUUUAUUUAUUUAUUUAUGAGAGACACAAAGAUAGAGAGACAGGCAGAGGGAAAGGCAGGCUCCUUACAGGGAGUUGGAUGCGGGACUCAAUCUCUGAAUCUGGGAUCAUACCUUGAGCUGAAGGCAGAUGCUCAACCUCUGAGCCACCCAGGCACCCCCAAAUGUAGACGUUCUUAAUCUUGAGAUUUGUUGAACUUCUUGAAUCUGUGGCUUUAUUCCCCACUCCUUCCUGGGUUCCAAAUAAAGGUAUGUCAGAUUUUUUUCACAUCAUCCUAUCUGUCUCUAACACUCUAAACACAUUCCUGUUUAAUCUGUGCUUCAUUUUGGGUAGUUCCUCCAUUCUUUCUUCCAGUGCAUUACUCGCUCUUCACUUGAGUCUUACUGUUAAACCUAUUGAUUGAUUCUUAAUUUUCUUUUUUUUUUUUUAAGAUUUUAUGUAUUUAUUCAUGAGAGAGAGAAAGGCAGAGACACAGGCAGAGGGAGAAGCAGGCUCCAUGCAGGCAGCCCGAUCCAGGACUCCAGGAUCACGCCCUGAGCCAAAGGCAGACGCUCAACCACUGAGCCACCCAGGCGUCCCCAAUUGUGUUUUGUUUUGUUUUGUUUUGUUUUUAAUUUAGGGCUGUGAAUUUUUUUACUUCUGGUUUACCCAAUUCCAAGGCUUCCCUCAGGAGGGCAGCUUUCAGGAUCCUAAACCCAAAUCAGAAGGUGGUUUUCCAGGUUUCUCAUUUUGGGGGACAUUUGGACUAUAAUUUUUGUCUCAUUUGCCCCACACAGCUCAUUUGCUGCCACCAGUUCCAAUCUGCAAACAACCCCAAGAUAAAAGCAGUCCUACUACUGGUCUCCCCUCUCUGCUUUCCUGUCUUUCAUGUUCUUAACACCAAUAAUUCCUCACUGUCUUAUUAGUGCUGUGAGUUUUCAAAGUACUUCAUCUAACAUUUUCAGUUGUCUUCAGCUCAGGGAUUGGGCAAAUUGUUCCAUUCAUUAUUGGAAGAGGGGCUCAAUUACUAAAUUAGUUUUGAAUGUAGUCGUUUCUCCUGAGCUCCACUCCACUAAUCCAAUAGGCCAUUGGACACUUCCACUUGGGGAUCUAUAGGCACCCCCACACACACCCAAUAAACUAAAAUUGUUAUCACUCCCCAAAAACCUGCUUUUUCAGCUCUUCAGCAGAUGGAUCGAUGUCACAUAAACUUCAAUUAUGUGUGUAUUGUCUUUUCUUCUUGAUGUCCAAUUGAUUCUACUUAUAAAAUAUUUCUCUAUAGUCAACAAUAUUAUGCACUUAAAAAGUUGUUAAGAGGGGCACCUGGGAUGUAGUUAAGCAUCUGCCUUUGGCUCAGGUCAUAAUCCCAGGGUCCUGGAUCAUGCCCUACAUCCAGCUCCUUGUUCAGCCUCUCCCUCUGCCCCUCCCUGCGCUCAUGUUUAUCACUCUCUUUUGCUUGCUUACUCUCUCUCAAAUAAAUAAAUAAAUAAAAUCUUUAAAAAAGGAGGGGCAUCUGGCUGGCUCAGUCAGUAGCACAUGUAACUCUUGGUCUUAGGGAUGACUUUGAGCCCCAAGUGGGGGAUAGUUUACUUAAAAAAAUAAAGGGGUUAAGGAUGCCUGCGUGGCUCAGCGGUGGAGCAUCAGCCUUUGGCUCAAGGCUUGAUCCCGGGAUCCUGGAUCCAGUCCCACAACAGGCUCUCUGUGGGGGGCCUGCUUCUCCCUCUGCCUAUGUCUCUGUCUCUCUCUCUCUCAUGAAUAAACAAAAUCUUUAAAAAAAUAAAACAAAGGGGUUAGUUAAAAACAUUUUAAGAGGGUAGAUCUCAUGUUAAGUGUUGUUAAUACACACACAAGGACACAAGGAAACAGUGGAGGUGAUGGAUAUGUUUAUUACCUUGAUGUGGUGGUGAUGCUUCACAGAUGUAGUAUGUAUGUCCAAACUCAUCAACUAUAUAAAUAAAUAUGUAUCGUUUAUGCCAUAUCAGUUAUACCUCAAUAAAACUAAUUUUUAAGAAUGCCCCCCCCAAAAAAGUGUCCCAAUCUCCUAUUUAUCUCUCUUAUCCUCCCAUAUAGGACAGACAUUAGGUCUACCACACAAAUGCUUGCAUGACCUGCCCUCUACUGCCCUCUCUUGCCUCUCCUAGUCAUUCCUGCAUGCUUACAUCACAUCUCUGGACUGAAGACAUAAACUCCUACAGCAGCCAGGCAGGUGGAGCACACCGGACAGGGUGGGUAGGAAGGAUCUGUAACGGACUAGAUUCACCUCAAGGAAGGGAUGCAAGACUUAUCUAUUGCCAGCCCUCUGAUAUUUCAAGACAAGUCAGAAAUCCAAAUGUUCAUGUGCCAUCUGCAGAUUUUAUUUAUUUACUUUGAAUAAGCUCUGUGCUCAACUUGGAGCUUGAACUCAGGCCAUCAAAGAGUCCCACCCUCAGGGCACCUGGCUCACUCAGUCCGUUAAGCAUUAGACUCUUGAUUUCGGCUCAGGUCAUGAUCUGGGGGUCCUGGGGUUGAGUUCUGUGAGGGGCUCUGUGCUCAGUGGGGAGCCUGCUUGAGGUUCUUUCUUUCCCUCUGCCCCUCCUCAUCCCAUUCUCUCUCACUCUCUCGAAUAGGUAAAUAAAUCUUUAAAAAUAAAAAGUAAGGGGAUAUCUAGGUGGCUCAGUGGUUGAGCAUCUGCCUUCAGCUCAGGUGGUGAUCCUGGGGUGCGGGGAUCGUGUCCUGCAUUAGGCUCCCUACAAGGAGUGGUCUUCUCCCUCUGCCUAUGUCUCUGCUUCUCCCUCUGCCUAUGUCUCUGCCUCUCUGUGUCUCUCAUGAAUAAAUAAAUAAAUCUUUUAAGGGAUCCCUGGGUGGCUCAGCGGUUUGGCGCCUGCCUUUGGCCCAGGGCACGAUCCUGGAGACCCAGGAUCGAAUCCCACGUCGGGCUCCCGGUGCAUGGAGCCUGCUUCUCCCUCUGCCUGUGUCUCUGCCUCUCUCUCUCUCUCACUGUGUGCCUAUCAUAAAAAAAAAAAAAAAAAGUUUAAAAUAAAUAUUUUAAAAGCUAAUAAUAGGGAUCCCUGGGUGGCGCAGUGGUUUGGCGCCUGCCUUUAGCCCAGGGUGCAAUCCUGGAGACCCGGGAUUGAAUCCCACGUCGGGCUCCCGGUGCAUGGAGCCUGCUUCUCUCUCUGCCUCUCUCUCUCUCUUUGUGACUAUCAUAAAUAAAUAAAUAAAAAUUAAAAAAAUGAAAGCUAAUAAUAAAUAAAAAUUUUAAAAAGAGUCCCACCCUGACCGAGGCAGCCUGGCACCCCUCAUUUGCUGAUUUUUAAGUGUAGGCAAUUAAGUCAAAUAUAGAGAAAGAGAAUGAAUGCAGUCAGAACAAAACAUUCCUGCAUCUGAAGUUGGUCCCGGGGUAUACCAUUUGUUCUAGACCAUAAGAAAAAAUGGUCCCAAAAUUCUCCAAAAAUUCCAGAAAUAGGGAAUAUACUUCCGUAUUCUGCUCUCUGCACAGAAUCCCUGUUCAUUGUUCUACUCUUGCUGCAUUAUUUCUCUUAGGAGAUUUUCCUGGUCCCAAAGCAAGCAAAAGUUAAAUCCUCACCUGGGCCUCUUAGCAGUUUAUCCAUCUCUGCGCUGCGGUCCUCAGUCAGAUCACUCAGUACCACCACUCGUCCCACGCAGGC